GACGUAGGGCGCGAGCGUUGUCCGGAUUUAUUGGGCGUAAAGAGCUCGUAGGCGGCUUGUCGCGUCUGCUGUGAAAUCCCGAGGCUCAACCUCGGGCUUGCAGUGGGUACGGGCAGACUAGAGUGCGGUAGGGGAGACUGGAAUUCUCGGUGUAGCAGUGAAAUGCGUAGAUAUCGAGAGGAACACCAGUGGCGAAGGCGAGUCUCUGGACAACACCUGACACUGAGGCACGAAAGCUAGGGGAGCAAACAGG
rnacentral:rRNA from 1 species